rnacentral:rRNA from 1 species
GGGAUAAGCGGAAGAAAUUCCGUCUAAUACCGCGUAAUAACUCCGAGGGGCAUCUCUUGGGGUUUAAAGGGUAACACCGGCUACGGAUGGCCAUGCGGCGCAUUAGCUAGUUGGCGGGGUAACGGCCCACCAAGGCGACGAUGCGUAGGGGUUCUGAGAGGAAGGUCCCCCACACUGGUACUGAGACACGGACCAGACUCCUACGGGAGGCAGCAGUGAGGAAUAUUGGUCAAUGGGCGCGAGCCUGAACCAGCCAAGUCGCGUGAGGGAAGACGGUCCUAUGGAUUGUAAACCUCUUUUGUCGGGGAGCAAAAGACGCCACGCGUGGCGUUCCGAGAGUACCCGAAGAAAAAGCAUCGGCUAACUCCGUGCCAGCAGCCGCGGUAAUACGGAGGAUGCGAGCGUUAUCCGGAUUUAUUGGGUUUAAAGGGUGCGCAGGCGGAAGAUCAAGUCAGCGGUAAAAUUGGGAGGCUCAACCUCUUCGAGCCGUUGAAACUGGUUUUCUUGAGUGAGCGAGAAGUAUGCGGAAUGCGUGGUGUAGCGGUGAAAUGCAUAGAUAUCACGCAGAACUCCGAUUGCGAAGGCAGCAUACCGGCGCUCAACUGACGCUCAUGCACGAAAGUGUGGGUAUCGAACAGGAUUAGAUACCCUGGUAGUCCACACAGUAAACGAUGAAUACUAAUUGUUCGGG